GCAGCUCUACAAGUGAACGUUUGAGAUGAAAUUGAACAGCAAGAGAUCGUUCACAGAACCUAAAUCCUUUCAAUGGUUGUCAAGUUGUUAUAAUAAUAUAUACAUAUGUACAUAUGUACAUAAGUAUAUACAGGCCAACUCGGCUCAAUUUCUUGAUAAUGAUGAUGCUUCAAUCUGUGCCUGCCUCUGUCGCUUAAUGGAGAAAGAAACUGGAUUUUAAAUCCUUUAAAUUUGUACUGACCAAGAAAAAGGAGAGGAAAAUAAAGUCAUUGGGCUCCACAUCACUAAAGAGCUGUGAUAGGAAAACCGGUGGUAUGGAAUAUAGAAGUAUACACAUUCAUAUUUACAUAUGCAUACGUAUGUAAAUGAAUGCACCGUCAAAUUUUAGUGUCUGAAUACUAACUAAAAUUUAAAUUUAAUAAAAAGAAAUUAUGAACAUUUUUAUGCUAGAGAACACUUAAAACGCAUACAUAUGUAGGAUGAAAAGUUUUAUAAUUCUAAAAUAUAAUCCUGUUUUGCUAUUACAAUUUUCUAAAUUGGAAAAUAUCUAGAUUUG